AAGUCGUAACAAGGUUUCCGUAGGUGAACCUGCGGAAGGAUCAUUAACACGUAUCCAAACGUUAAAACCCCCCCCGUGAACCUUCAUCCUGCUCUUGUAACCCGCGUAGUUCGCAAUCUCUGAUAAAUCAUAGCCCGGAAAGUUGUAGUGAUUCAGAGACCUCUGGCUACGUGCGAACAUUGGAACAGUUACAAUCGAGCGGUAGUUCUAUAGGCAAUGUUUCCCCAAGCAGUCAGUGUCGGAAAGUGUAAGACCGUACACUCGGGCAGGAGCUUUGCCAAAGGGUCCCCAUGCCCCCUAAUAACCCCACAGUUUAAUGUGAAGCUCAAUGUAAUACAUUGGGUAAAAAAACCGAACAACAACUGUUAACAAUGGAUAUCUUGGUUCUC
rnacentral:misc_RNA from 1 species